GCCACCGCCACCGCGUGGCCGAUUGGAGGGUAUACAUCGCUUAUCCCUCUCGUGUUUCUUUCUGUUGUAGCAGUACUAGCGGUAUGCGUAGAUGUCUCUACUAUAUGCGUAGUACAUGCUCUGUUAGAUCAUAAUCAGUAUGUUAUCAAUGCUGUCCAUGUCAUGCUCAUGAUUUAUUCAUGGAUUAAUUUAAUCGGAAAACUGCCUAUUUUCUCAUCAAUCCAAAAACCUAAUAUCUGUAGGAGUUUUUCGAAUUCUGGUUUUGCUGCUGCACUGAAACCGUCCCCGUUUACGGGGACGUACUUUAAGCGUUGGCAGACUAAAACCACCUUAUGGCUCACGGCCAUGAACGUGUUCUGGGUCGCCGGUGUGACUCCUACAGGAACGAUCGCUCCUGAACAGGAGAAGGCGUUUAAGGAGGCCACCGUGGUGUUCCUCGGGGCAGUUCUGAGCGUGAUUGGAGAUAAGCUGGUUGAUGCAUAUUUACAUAUGCGGUCUGCCAAGGACUUGUGGGAGGCGCUCGAAUCUAAGUUCGGGGCUGCCGAUGCAGGGAGCGAGAUGUAUAUUAUAGAGCAGUUCCACGAUUACAAGAUGGUUGAAAACCGUCCUGUAUUGGAGCAGGCUCAUGAGAUAAUAUGCAUUGUUAAGGAGCUUGAGCUUCUUAAGUGCGAGUUACCG
rnacentral:rRNA from 1 species